AUGGCUGGGCUCAGUUGGGAUAAAAUGCGUCUUCCAAAGUCUGAGGGUGCUAUGGGGUUCAGAGAUAUGUGCGCUUUUAAUCAAGCCUUGUUAGGUAAACAGGCUUGGCCAUUAAUUGAAUCUCCGGAUAGUUUGUGUGCUCGCCUCCUUCGGGCGAAAUAUUAUCCGAAUGGAAAUCUUCUGGACACGGUAUUUUCAGGUAAUUCUUCAGCUGUUUGGAAAGGUAUUGAAUAUGGCCUUCAACUAGUGAAAAAGGGUUUUAUUUGGAGAAUCGGUAACGGCUGUAUGGUGCGUACAUGGCGUGAUCCUUAG
rnacentral:rRNA from 1 species